CUCUCUCUCUCUCUCUCUCUCUCUCUCUCUCUCUCUCUCUCUCACACACACACCGUGUGGUGUCUUUCUUGUUUACCCCUUUUAUUUGUCAUUAUAACUUUUUUUUCUUUCUUUUUUGGCAGCUAACGCCAUAUUCUGGGGAAGACGGCGAUGUAGACCCGUGUGUCUGUUCAAGCUCUGUAUGUGCGGAUGUGUAGUGAAGAACGGGUGUCCGACCUGCGCGUGCAAAUCGUGUACAUUUUCCUAGCAAUAAAAAAUGUCCGCCUCUGUAUCACAAGGGUUAAUUCAGAUUCAUACCACGUGACAAACUGAUGACGUCAAAAGAAUACAGCCAGCAUAAAAAUAAAAAAUAAAAUUACUUA